AGAGUUUGAUCCUGGCUCAGAAUCAACGCUGGCGGCGUGCCUAACACAUGCAAGUCGAACGAGAAAGGGGAGCAAUCCCUGAGUAAAGUGGCGCACGGGUGAGUAACACGUGACUAACCUACCUUUGAGUGGGGGAUAACCUAGGGAAACCUGGGCUAAUACCGCAUAAUACUUACGAGUCAAAGCAGCAAUGCGCUCGAAGAGGGGGUCGCGGUCGAUUAGUUAGUUGGCAGGGUAAUGGCCUACCAAGACUGUGAUCGAUAUCCGGCCUGAGAGGGCGCACGGACACACUGGAACUGAAACACGGUCCAGACUCCUACGGGAGGCAGCAGUGGGGAAUUUUGCGCAAUGGGGGAAACCCUGACGCAGCAACGCCGCGUGGAGGAUGAAGUCCCUUGGGCACGUAAACUCCUUUCGAUCGGGACGAUUAUGACGGUACCGAGAGAAGAAGCCC
rnacentral:rRNA from 1 species